AUGAAGCCACCCCUGCCCACAGAGGCCGAGGCCUUCGAGAAAGCAUGGCCCUCAAGAGCACAUUCCCGUUUCCGCGACAGCCUCUGCAAGACACGUGUCAGUGUGUACUACUCCCCCAAGCUCAUGUACCUUAAGGUUGUGGCCAUCUCGGCACAGGACCUUAUUCCGAGUGUGAAGGACCGACCUCUCGCGCCCACCAUCGUGAAGAUACAGAUGGAUAGACAAAUUCGGCGGACAAGGUUAGGGCAGCCACAGGGGUCGGCCAACCCAACUUGGAACGAGGAGUUCAUGUUCGUGGCCAGCGAGCCUUUCGAGGACCCGCUAGUGGUGACGGUAGAGGAGCGUGUGGCCACUGGCAACGAUAAGCCCAUCGGCCACGUGAUCAUCCCCCUGGUGUUCCCCUACGUGCUCCGCAACAAGCUAGCCAACGCGGUGCCGCCCAAGUGGUUCAGCCUGACGCGCACGUUGACGGCGGAGGAGGCAGCAGCGGGCUUGACGACGGGUAGCAGGAACAGGGAGUUAUCCAAGACGUUCGCGAGCAAGAUACAUCUGCGGCUGAGCCUUGAGACAGAGCUUCCUUUGGGUCAUAAGAAGCUCCGCAAGAGCCCCAUCGGCGUCUUGGAGGUGGGUAUCCUGAGCGCGCGUGACCUGGCGGACAUGAAGAACCCAUAUUGUGUCGUCAAGUAUGACACUGCCGCGCCGGUCUGGAACGAGCAGUUCAUGUGGAAGGUGUUCGACCCCGGCACCGUGCUUGUCAUCGCUGUUUUUGACAACUGCCACCUCGACUCCUCCAAUGGCAACGCCAAGGACCAGCGGAUCGGCAAGGUGUGCCUCCGCCUGGCCGCCCUCGAAACCGACCGCGUGUACACCCACGAGUUCCCGCUCAUGGCGCUGACCCCGUCGGGGCUGAAGAAAACCGGGGGUGUCCACCUUGCCGUAAGAUUCACCUGCAUAUCGUUGACCAAAAUGCUGACCAUGUACAGCAAACCGCUUCCUGAAGUACACUACACCAACCCCAUCUCCACGCUGCUGGAGGACUACCUCUGCCUGCGCCGGAGCAAGGCCAACUUCUACCGGCUUAAGUACGUCUUCUCCGACGUCGUUGCCAUGUGGAAGUGGUUCGACCGCAUCUGCAGGUGGAAGAACCCGCUGACGACGGUUCUUGUCCACGUGGUAUUCCUGAGCCUCGUGUGCUACCCGGAGCUCAUCUUGCCGAUGGUGUUCCUCUAUCUCUUCAUGAUUGGGUUGGGGAACUACGGACGGAGUUCACGACAUCCGCAGCACUUUAACGUGGUGCUGUCGUGCGCGGAUCAGGCGUGCCCGGAUGAGCUGGACGAGGCGCCACCCUACAUGGACACACUGCUGUGGUACCCAGACCAGACGCACCACGACGAGCUGAACGAGUUCAACGCGUCCAGGCCGGAUGACAUCGUGCAGAUGAGAAGCAUCGCGGGGAGGGUCCAGACGGUAGUUGGCGACCUGGCCGUGCAGGCGGAGCGCGUGCAGUCGCUGUUCAGCUGGAGCGACCCGAGGGCGACGCCCAUCUUUAUCACUCUCUCCCUGCUGGCGGCCGUCGUACUUUAUCUGACGCCGUUCCGGGUGGUGGCCAUGGUGACAGGGCUAUACUUCCUCUUGCCCCCGUGGUUAUUCCGGAACAGGACCAACCAGCUGCUCAUCAACCUCUACAGGCGUCUUCCCUCCAAGGACGACUUUGGCUGGAACCUGGAGACGACGUACCACAUGCCGGAGAAGUCCACGCACUACAGAACCGACGUGCAGCCGGCGGAGAAGCCCCGAAGGAGCACCAUCGGCGUGCUGGAAGUGGGCAUGCUCGGCGCACGCGACCUGGGCGACAAUAAUUACCCAUAUUGCGUGGCCAAGUACGGGGCCAAGUGGGUGCGCACGCGCACGUUGCUCGGCCCGGCGGCGCCGCAGUGGAACGAGCCGUACACCUGGGAGUUGUUCGACCUCAGCACCGUCAUCACCUUCGCGAGGGGACAGAAGAAGACGGGGCAGCUCCACCUCGCCGUUCGGUUCACCUGCACGGCCUGGGCGAACAUGUUGGCGCAGUACGGGUGGCCAGUACUGCUCCCGAUGAUGGACCAUACGAACCCCAUCCGUGUGCUGCAGAUGGACCUCCGGGUCCAGGCGAUGGUGCUUGUGGCCACGCAGCUGGGCAGGGCUGAUCCGCCGUUGCCUAGGGAGGUGGUGGGGUGCAUGCUGGACGUGGACUCGCACACGUUCAGCCUGCGCCGGAGCAAGGCCAACUUCAACGGGAUCUUUUCGCUUUUCUCCGGCGUCUUCGCCGUGGCCAAAUGGUUCGAUGGCAUCUGCAAGUGGAAGAACCCGCUUUUCUGGUGCACGUGGGAUUCUUGA
rnacentral:rRNA from 1 species